AAAACGAAUUUAUCAUAUAUGCGUGAUUUGUUUAUUGAAAUGACAAUUAUGUCUAUACAAGAAAAUUAUUGUACCUUGCUUUUCAACUGAGAAAUCAGUUUGUUGCAGAAGUAAAUUUGGGAUACCAAGUGGCUCAGGCAGAUCUGUCAAGGGAAUUGAGGGUCCCGUAGUUGCUCGCCGGUCGACCAAAACCAGGUACUGAACAUUUUUGUAAGCUUGUCUCUUUGCAUCUUCCACCAGAAGCUGGAAAUCAAGCAGAGAAUCAUUCGAUAUCGUCAUAUGGUACAUAUCUGUGAAGUACAGUAAAUGAAUACUCCAUAAGAGCUCAUAUAAAUACGAACUUUUUGAGAAAAGGUCAAUUUUUCCACGGGGUGGUAAUUUUCGCCAUCCAAUGUUGCUGCCACAACUCUGUAAAUGGAGUCUAAUAGAAGUCCAACGCUUUGUGCGGUUCCAUAGUAGGAAUACCACUCAUCAUCAAGAGCACAAGUCAAAGCAUGAUCUAUGAUUGUAUCCCAUACCCGAUUCGAGAUACCACCACCGAGUAUCUGCAGUAAUUAAUAUCACAAAUCAGAUUAGUUCAGCAG